rnacentral:rRNA from 3 species
AACGCGAAGAACCUUACCUACUCUUGACAUCCAGAGAACUUAGCAGAGAUGCUUUGGUGCCUUCGGGAACUCUGAGACAGGUGCUGCAUGGCUGUCGUCAGCUCGUGUUGUGAAAUGUUGGGUUAAGUCCCGCAACGAGCGCAACCCUUAUCCUUUGUUGCCAGCGGUUCGGCCGGGAACUCAAAGGAGACUGCCAGUGAUAAACUGGAGGAAGGUGGGGAUGACGUCAAGUCAUCAUGGCCCUUACGAGUAGGGCUACACACGUGCUACAAUGGCAUAUACAAAGAGAAGCGACCUCGCGAGAGCAAGCGGACCUCAUAAAGUAUGUCGUAGUCCGGAUUGGAGUCUGCAACUCGACUCCAUGAAGUCGGAAUCGCUAGUAAUCGUAGAUCAGAAUGCUACGGUGAAUACGUUCCCGGGUCUUGUACACACCG